GCUGGGCAUGGUGGUGCAUGCCUGUAAUUUCAGCUACUUGGAAGUCUGAGGUAGGAGGAUCAUAUUUUGAGGCCAGCUUCAGCAAUUUAUCAAGGCCCUAGACAACUUAUUGAGACCCCCACCUCAA
rnacentral:sRNA from 1 species